AUUGAACGCUGGCGGCAUGCCUUACACAUGCAAGUCGAACGGCAGCACGGGAGCAAUCCUGGUGGCGAGUGGCGAACGGGUGAGUAAUAUAUCGGAACGUGCCCAGUCGUGGGGAUAACGUAGCGAAAGCUACGCUAAUACCGCAUACGAUCUACGGAUGAAAGCGGGGGAUCGCAAGACCUCGCGCGAUUGGAGCGGCCGAUAUCAGAUUAGGUAGUUGGUGAGGUAAAGGCUCACCAAGCCGACGAUCUGUAGCUGGUCUGAGAGGACGACCAGCCACACUGGGACUGAGACACGGCCCAGACUCCUACGGAGGCAGCAGUGGGGAAUUUUGGACAAUGGGCGCAAGCCUGAUCCAGCAAUGCCGCGUGCAGGAUGAAGGCCUUCGGGUUCGGUUAAAC
rnacentral:rRNA from 1 species